UAGGACCCUAACUAGAGGGUUUGCCAAGAAAAUAAUGGGUAAUAAUAAUGCGACAGGACCACAUUUCCACCAAAAAUGGAAGAAGAGCACAUCAAGCCCUGUUGAAGUGGAGGAAUUCAGCAGACGAUUCUAUAAAGAAAUGAGAAAAGAAGGAAUACCACUCAAUUAAAAGAUAGUGCUGUUACCUACUUCUCAAUUUGGGUUUUAAUGUUGCAGUGUCAGGAAAAGUAAAAUGUUGAUAAAAUGUGAUAUCUAAUGGUUUUUGCAUCUCUCUCAUCUUUCUGUCUCUCUUUCUUGCAGAGAUCAUUGAUAAAACUUUCAUUCUCCUGUUUGUCUGUAUACCAUGAGGAAAUUACAAAAUUAAACGUUUUUUCUUUGUUGGAA